rnacentral:rRNA from 1 species
CCCGACCGCUAUCGGGGUGGGGCUAACCCAUGGAAGUCUAGGAGCCGGGGGCACGGCCGGCUCCGGCGGACGGCUCAGUAACACGUGGCUAACCUACCCUCGGGAGGGGGAUAACCCCGGGAAACUGGGGAUAAUCCCCCAUAGGUGUAGACUUCUGGAAUGGGUCUACGCCGAAAGGGCUACGGCACCACCCCUGCCGUAGCUGCCCGAGGAUGGGGCUGCGGCCUAUCAGGUAGUUGGCGGGGUAACGGCCCGCCAAGCCUAUAACGGGUAGGGGCCGUGAGAGCGGGAGCCCCGAGAUGGGCACUGAGACAAGGGCCCAGGCCCUACGGGGUGCACCAGGGGCGAAACUUCCGCAAUGCGGGAAACCGUGACGGAGUCACCCCGAGUGCCACCCGAUGAGGGUGGCUUUUGCCCGGUCUAAAAAGUCGGGCGAAUAAGCGGGGGGCAAGCUUGGUGUCAGCCGCCGCGGUAAUACCAACCCCG